GUGAAUCAUCGAAUCUUUGAACGCACAUUGCGCCCCUUGGUAUUCCGAGGGGCAUGCCUGUUCGAGCGUCAUUACAACCCUCAAGCAUAGCUUGGUGUUGGGGCCCUGCCGCGUAGGCAGCCCUUAAAAUCAGUGGCGGUGCCAUCUGGCUCUAAGCGUAGUAAAUUCUCUCGCUACAGGGUCUGGGUGAACGCUUGCCAUCAACCCCUAAUUUUCUAUGGUUGACCUCGGAUCAGGUAGGGAUACCCGCUGAACUUAAGCAUAUCAAUAAGCGGAGGA
rnacentral:misc_RNA from 1 species